UAGGGAAUCUUCCACAAUGGGCGCAAGCCUGAUGGAGCAACGCCGCGUGAGUGAUGAAGGCCUUCGGGUUGUAAAACUCUGUCUUCUGUGACGAACAAGUAUGUGAGUGGAAAGCUCAUACCCUGACGGUAACAGAGGAGGAAGCCACGGCUAACUACGUGCCAGCAGCCGCGGUAAUACGUAGGUGGCGAGCGUUGUCCGGAAUCACUGGGCGUAAAGCGCGCGCAGGCGGCGAUCUACGUCUGGGGUGAAAGCCCGGAGCUCAACUCCGGGACUGCCUUGGAUACGGGAUCGCUUGAGGAUUGGAGAGGCAAGGGGAAUUCCACGUGUAGCGGUGAAAUGCGUAGAGAUGUGGAGGAACACCUGUGGCGAAGGCGCCUUGCUGGCCAAUUACUGACGCUGAGGCGCGAAAGCGUGGGGAGCAACAGGAUUAGAUACCCUGGUAGUCCACGCCGUAAACGAUGAGUGCUAGGUGUUACGGGGGG
rnacentral:rRNA from 1 species